ACAUUGAGAAAGGGUUGGGAAACACUAUGAUCACGAAGGUUGUUCUUCCAGGGCAAACCUUAUCUAUUGCCCUCCAGAGGUGCUGACCCCCGCGAUUUCCCAAAUGUGGGAAAGAAACGCAAUUGCCUAAUUUGUGGCGGCAGCGACUGCGUUUGUGCUUUCCCCU
ensembl:snRNA U1 U1 spliceosomal RNA